rnacentral:piRNA from 1 species
GCAAGUAAGGGUUCACAUAUGGAAGC